CCUACGGGUGGCAGCAGUGGGGAAUAUUGCACAAUGGGGGGAACCCUGAUGCAGCAACGCCGCGUGGGUGAAGAAGUACUUCGGUAUGUAAAGCCCUGUCAGCAGGGAAGAAAAUGACGGUACCUGAACAAGAAGCCCCGGCUAACUACGUGCCAGCAGCCGCAGUAAUACGUAGGGGGCAAGCGUUAUCCGGAUUUACUGGGUGUAAAGGGGGCGUAGACGGCAAGGCAAGUCCGGAGGGAAAGCCCGUGGCUCAACCACGGGACUGCCUUGGAAACUGUGUUGCUGGAGUGCAGGAGGGGUAGGCGGAAUUCCUAGUGUAGCGGUGAAAUGCGUAGAUAUUAGGAGGAACACCGGUGGCGAAGGCGGCUUACUAAACUGUAACUGACGUUGAGGCUCGAAGGCGUGGGGAGCAAACAGGAUUAGAUACCCGUGUAGUC
rnacentral:rRNA from 1 species